GCUGACUUAGCUCAGUUGGUAGAGCAUCUGUCUUGUAAACAGAGGGUCGAAGGUUCGAAUCCUUUAGUCAGCA
rnacentral:tRNA from 1 species